AUACUUACCUGGCACCGGGCAAGCCUUGAUCAUCAAGGAGGCUCCUCCGAGCACAAGUCUCUUAUAGCACUGCAAGAGAUCAACGCUCGCUACUUCCACGAAUUGUGGUUGUUUAGGGUGCAAAACAUUUGGUAGUUUUAUUGUUUUAUUCUUUGAAAU
rnacentral:snRNA from 1 species